ACGAAGGGUGCAAGCGUUGCUCGGAAUCAUUGGGCGUAAAGCGAGCGCAGGUGGUCUUGUAAGUCAGGAGUGAAAUCCCAGGGCUCAACCCUGGAAGUGCUUUUGAUACUGCGAGACUUGAAUGUGGGAGAGGGUACUAGAAUACAUAGUGUAGUGGUGAAAUACGUAGAUAUUAUGUGGAACACCGGUGGCGAAGGCGGGUGCCUGGCCCAACAUUGACACUUAGGCUCGAAAGCGUGGGGAUCAAACAGGAUUAGAUACCCUGGUAGUCCACGCCGUAAACGAUGAAUACUUGGUGUUGGUGGUAUUGACCCCACCAGUGCCGAAGCUAACGCGUUAAGUAUUCCGCCUGGGAAGUACGGUCGCAAGAUUA
rnacentral:rRNA from 1 species